UAGGGAAUCUUCGGCAAUGGACGAAAGUCUGACCGAGCAACGCCGCGUGAGUGAAGAAGGUUUUCUGAUCGUAAAACUCUGUUGUUAGAGAAGAACAAGGACGUUAGUAACUGAACGUCCCCUGACGGUAUCUAACCAGAAAGCCACGGCUAACUACGUGCCAGCAGCCGCGGUAAUACGUUGGUGGCAAGCGUUGUCCGGAUUUAUUGGGCGUAAAGUGAGCGCAGGCGGUUCCUUAAGUCUGAUGUGAAAGCCCCCGGCUCAACCGGGGAGGGUUAUUAGAUACUGGGAGACUUGAGUGCAGAGGAGGGGAGUGGAAUUCCAUGUGUAGCGGUGAUAUGCGUAAAUAUAUGGAGGACCACCAGUGGCGAAGGCGGCUCUCUGGUCUGUAACUGACGCUGAGGCUCGAAAGCGUGGGGAGCAAACAGG
rnacentral:rRNA from 1 species